CACACAUCCACCAACCACUGGAACACAUCUCCAAAGUUCUGCUGGACCAGCUCAGCUUCCCCUCAGAAGAAGUGCUGCCACCUGCCAGAUGAAGGAGCCUUUUGAGAGGCAGCUGGCAUCGUGAUUGGACUGUACUUUGGUCUGUUCCAAUCCAGCUUCAGCUCCAGAGACGGCAGGCGGGACGAGUCAACGGAGGCCUGAUGGACGAAGACCAAAGAACUACAGACUCUUCACAACCUGCUCAAACUCUUGGUACAGGACCUCACCACACGGGUCAAGAAGGUUUCCGUCUCAUUUCUACUCUGA
ensembl:lncRNA